AGGAGGUCCUGGGGCCGCCCUGA
rnacentral:miRNA from 1 species